UGCAUCUGUGCAUGCAGCAUAUCAAUAAGCGGAGGAAAAGAAGUAUACCUACGCUUAGGAUGUUGACACACACGCGCGUGCUCGACUCUAUACAUGACUCUGUGCAUAUCAAUAAGCGGAGGAAAAGAAACUAACAAGGAUUCCCUUAGUAACGGCGAGUGAAGCGGGAAGAGCUCAAAUUUGAAAUCUUCAAGGUUUUACCUUGACGAAUUGUAGUUUAAAGAAGUGUUUUCUGUUGAAGUUUUGGUAAAAGUUCUUUGGAAUAGGACAUCAUAGAGGGUGAGAAUCCCGUAUUUGACCAUUAUUUUCAGCUGUGUGAUACACUUUCAAAGAGUCGGAUUGUUUGAGAAUGCAGUCCAAAAUGGGUGGUAAAUUUCAUCUAAAGCUAAAUAUUGGCGAGAGACCGAUAGCGAACAAGUACCGUGAGGGAAAGAUGAAAAGAACUUUGAAAGAGAGAGUUAAACAGUACGUGAAAUUGUCAAAAGGGAAGCGUUUGACACCAGUGUUGUUUUCUCGAAAAUCAAUUAAAAAGAGUUUAGAUUUUGUUGUGUAUUGACCUUAACAGCUUGCAUUUCAAUUUUCUUGCUUUUUUUAAUGCACUUUUCGUUUAACAAGUCAACAUCAGUUUCUUUUGUUGUAAAAAGGUCAUUGGAAGGUGGCUUUCUUUUCGGAGAAAGUGUUUAUAGCCUUUGACUCCUGCAAUCGGAGAGACUGAGGUCUGCAGCGUAGAUCCUUCGGGGUUAGAUACAUUUGUGCUAAGUUAUAGCUUUUUAUAGACAACUUGUUGACUAUGAUUAGUCUUGUAGCUUACUCGCUUAUGCUAUUUUACCUACGCUUAGGAUGUUGACACACGCGCGUGCUCG
rnacentral:rRNA from 1 species